rnacentral:rRNA from 1 species
CCCUUAGAUGUUCUGGGCCGCACGCGCGCUACACUGAUGCAUUCAACGAGCCUAUCCUUGACCGACAGGUCCGGGUAAUUUUUGAAUCUGCAUCGUGACGGGGAUAGAUUAUUGCAAUUAUUAAUCUUCAACGAGGAAUGCCUAGUAGGCGCAAGUCAUCAGCUUGCGUCGAUUACGUCCCUGCCCUUUGUACACACCGCCCGUCGCUCCUACCGAUUGGGUGUGCUGGUGAAAUGUUCGGAUCGGCCGUUUGUCGCGGUUUCCGCGUCAUGUGGCUGAGAAGUUCAUUAAACCCUCCCACCUAGAGGAAGGAGAAGUCGUAACA